rnacentral:rRNA from 1 species
GACGAACGCUGGCGGCGUGCUUAACACAUGCAAGUCGAACGGUAAGGCUCCAGCUUGCUGGGGUACACGAGUGGCGAACGGGUGAGUAACACGUGGGUGACCUGCCCUGCACUUCGGGAUAAGCCUGGGAAACUGGGUCUAAUACCGGAUAGGACCAUGGUGUGGAUACUGUGGUGGAAAGUUUUUUCGGUGUGGGAUGGGCCCGCGGCCUAUCAGCUUGUUGGUGGGGUAAUGGCCUACCAAGGCGGCAACGGGUAGCCGGCCUGAGAGGGUGGACGGCCACAUUGGGACUGAGACACGGCCCAGACUCCUACGGGAGGCAGCAGUGGGGAAUAUUGCACAAUGGGCGGAAGCCUGAUGCAGCGACGCCGCGUGGGGGAUGACGGCCUUCGGGUUGUAAACUCCUUUCACCAUCGACGAAGGGUUUCUGACGGUAGAUGGAGAAGAAGCACCGGCUAACUACGUG